GAUAAACUCUGGUUUUGUUUAACCUAAACUCUGUUUGUUAUUUAACAUUAUACAACCAGGGCGAGUUAGUGAGCCUUAACAUUAACCUUUUCUUCUUGUUUCCAAUAACCAUUGGUUUCCUUUGUUUAACAUAAUUGUUAUUGAACCUUUUUGUUUUUGUUUUUUGAUUAACUUUUAUAUUAACAAUGUUGACUAAGAAACUUAAUCCAGAAUCAGGAAGCUCUGAUUAUGAGCUGGAUGAAUUGGAGCCAAGAGACAAAAUGUUUCCAAUUAUCCCUCGAAUGGGAUCCGUUUUUAUGCAAGUGACUAGUUUGCUCUUUAGCUUUUUCUUUUUCGCGCUCAUUGUUAUACUUCUGCACCAAUAUCACAUGGAUAAUGAUCAUCGUCUGCCAGCUUUAUACAACUCAACGGCUAAACCUGAUUUAUUAACAACUAUUUUACCAUUACCGACAACAACUCUUGUUGAUGGUGUUUCCCUUAAUCAAUCAAUUCACUAACCAUCAAAUUCAGUAAGAUUCAUCAACCAGAAAUGGUCAUUUUCAUCAAACAGUCUUUUACCGAGGCUUGAAAUUUUGAAAUCAAUUUGUGCCUGAUAUUAGUGAAAAGCAAAGCAGAACUCCCCAUUUUAAAGUUGAUACAUUUACAAGGUGUAAUUUAAUUGUGCUUAUCAUGUUAAAGGAAUGCUGAUAUAACAAGGGUAACGACCAUGUUUGAUGGCGAAAGUUUGAAAAACGUCGUUUAAUGGCUGUAAAGUGUUGAGUUGAAAAGGAAAACCAAUAAACCAGAGAUAGGCAAAUGAGACGAUCUACAUGCUAAUGACCACACAUUAGGAGGUUAAAGAUUUUGCCUUGCGAAAAGACUUUGACUUGUAAAUUAUUCAAGUUGGUCACAAGUCUUUGCCGUUUUUUGCCCUUCUCCUCUCAACGCCAUUUUCUUGGUAAUUAAUCAAUUGCUUUGGAUUGUGAUGGCUACCAUACAUAAUGCGUCAAAUAACUUAUCUUUUGGUUUAUGCGUUUGGAUACAUCAAGUGAAAAGAACCACAAAGACAAAAGG